AUUGUGUCCAUGGACCAAGAAGGUUUUAGUACCACUUAAGGGCACUAAACAAUAUUUUCAAUCCAGUCUCAGUAUACCAUGGACUACACAAAAAUGUAUGGUGGCCAUCCCAGGUGUAUGGUUGGGACCA